UAGAGAUAGAGCGUUCCCCUUCGGGGGACAGAGUGACAGGUGGUGCAUGGUUGUCGUCAGCUCGUGUCGUGAGAUGUUGGGUUAAGUCCCGCAACGAGCGCAACCCUUGAUCUUAGUUGCCAGCAUUUAGUUGGGCACUCUAAGGUGACUGCCGGUGACAAACCGGAGGAAGGUGGGGAUGACGUCAAAUCAUCAUGCCCCUUAUGACCUGGGCUACACACGUGCUACAAUGGAUGGUACAAAGGGCUGCAAGACCGCGAGGUCAAGCCAAUCCCAUAAAACCAUUCUCAGUUCGGAUUGUAGGCUGCAAC
rnacentral:rRNA from 1 species